rnacentral:lncRNA from 1 species
GCCUUGACAUGCGGUCCCACAGAAAUCUGAGUUAAAAAUCUAUUCCUUCUGGCCUUGCUGUGAAUCAGACAGCUCACAUUUCAAACCUUGUUGGCCUAUUAUGUCUAAGCGAGUCUAGUAUUACUCGAGUGGUUUCUUUAGCAAGCCCUUGACAUUGCUGACAGCAGGGGGACCUCGGUGACACCUCCUCGGUUACGGACUGUGCCGCCCGCCGCCUGCCCCCACUCCAUAUCCGCAGGAGGAGGCCCGACAGUGCGCGGGGACAAAGGGACAUCGGACAUCGGCGCCUGCAGUUCUUCCGCCUGACUGCCUCAGACGAGGUGCGCGCUCGUUCCAUCGCCUCGUGGAUGAUAAAAGGAAACCAGCAGGAACGGGCAGCGGAACCAGGGCGACCGCCGCUUCCUCCGGUCCCGGUCCCUUCGGGACCCCCAGGAUCGGAGCUGGCAGCCUGCAGAUUCCGCUGAAGGGCUCCCCGAGCCUGCAGCGCUUCUCGAGCGAGCGCGGAGACCGGAGCCCUCGCCGGGACGCAGCCGCCUGGGGCCGUCCCGCCCGGCCCGUCCUCCGUCCAGGGCGGCUCGCCCGCGCCCACACUCCCGCCGGCCACACCGACGUCUCCAAAUCACCGUUGGAAAAUCAGCGCCCACGCUCAGGUCCCCGGGGAGACGCGGUCACAGGCGACUUCAACCCAGCGCGGCACGGGAAGCCGGCGGAGCCCGCGAGCGCCGCAUGCAGCCCAUGGCAGUGCCCGCAGGGGCAGAACAAGCCUCAGACCCACGGAAGGGAGACGGAAGUGUGCACGGAAGAGGCCUCCCUCUUCCACCAAAUAAUACCGCAGGCAUCCUUCUGUGAUCACUGCAAGAAAAAGUUUUCAUAAGUGAAGAGAAUUCUCAAGCUCUGCAGUGUCUCACCUGGUGUCACAUGACACAGAUGAACAGCACUGGUGAGAAUGCAAAGAGGG